CUGUCUGACGGGCAUUGUUUCUGUCCUUCUCAGGUCCUCGUGCAGGCCAUCAAGGAGGCAAAGGAGCAGCACCCAGACAUGUCAGUGACCAAGGUGGUCGUCCAUCAGGAGACCGAAAUCUCUGAGGAAUGAGCUCAGGAACUAUCCUUCCCCAACUCCCGGCCUGCCUCCCCCUCGAGAGAAAACCAGCAAAAUGACAAAGAAGCGUAUCUGCAAUAGUGAGACAUCAGGCUUUCAACAUUACUCGAAGCCACCAGGAAAUUUCGUUUUCUAUUUGGAGUUUGUACCAAGAGAGUCUUCUAGACAUCACUGGUUCUUUUAAUACCUUUUUCUAUAUUGUGAUACCAGGAAUUGUUCGACUUUUCACUCUACGGACUGUUUUUAAAGAGCUUUUUUGGUUUUUUAUGGGGUGGUUUGUAACCCCUUCACCCUAGCCUCUCCCCGUGUAUUUCCAACCCAGAUGCUGACAGGUCCACAGAAUCCGUGGGGAAAUCCUCCGAAGGCUGUCAGCUGUGUUGGGGGCCAAAGCCAGCUUAAUGGGGCACCCUUGCUCCUCCCCUAGUCUUACACCCUUGGAUGUCAGCAGAAACUUCAUUGGCCAGCCCUUUCUCAGAGCCAAUGAUGUGGCUUUACCAUGUGAGGCCGGGCAGCCGUCCUGACCCACGGGCUCUGGGAAGACAUCCCUGUCCCUUUGCUGCGGGCGGUGUUGGUGAGGCCGACAUCUCUGCCAAGAAUGUAGUAUUGUUUUUCCUUCUUUCCUCCCAUUCUUCCUUUUGGAGCUUCUUUAGAUCAAAGACGUAAGAAGUUGUUUCAGAUCUCUCUGAUACUGUGAA